rnacentral:rRNA from 1 species
UACGUAGGUGGCAAGCGUUGUCCGGAUUUAUUGGGUUUAAAGGGCGCGUAGGCGGUCUUGUAAGUCUCGUGUGAAAUCCCUCGGCUUAACUGAGGAACUGCACGGGAUACUGCAUGACUUGAGGUCGGGAGAGGGAAGCGGAAUUCCGGGUGUAGCGGUGAAAUGCGUAGAUAUCCGGAGGAACACCGGUGGCGAAGGCGGCUUCCUGGACCGACUCUGACGCUGAGGCGCGAAAGCUAGGGGAGCAAACGGG